rnacentral:rRNA from 1 species
GAUGAACGCUGGCGGCGUGCCUAAUACAUGCAAGUCGAGCGAACAGACGAGAGUGCUUGCACUCUCUGACGUUAGCGGCGGACGGGUGAGUAACACGUGGGUAACCUACCUAUAAGACUGGGAUAACUUCGGGAAACCGGAGCUAAUACCGGAUAAUAUUUAGCUUCGCAUGAAGCAAUAGUGAAAGACGGUUCUGCUGUCACUUAUAGAUGGACCCGCGGUGUAUUAGCUAGUUGGUGAGGUAACGGCUCACCAAGGCAACGAUACAUAGCCGACCUGAGAGGGUGAUCGGCCACACUGGGACUGAGACACGGCCCAGACUCCUACGGGAGGCAGCAGUAGGGAAUCUUCCGCAAUGGACGAAAGUCUGACGGAGCAAUGCCGCGUGAGUGAAGAAGGUUUUCGGAUCGUAAAACUCUGUUGUAAGGGAAGAACGAGUACGUUAGUAACUGAACGUACCUUGACGGUACCUUACCAGAAAGCCACGGCUAACUACGUG